AAACCUAAUCUAUUGAUUAUUUUUGAAAACAACAUUUGCUCCCCAUUUUCAAAUUUCUCCACCUUCAAUUUCAGGUUGUUUCCAAGAAAAAAAAUUCAGAUUUACCACAUGUCAUACUCUAAUCAGUUUAUUUUUAAUUAAAAAAUAAAGAUAAAAACUUAAAAAAAUAACCUAUCAGCACCAUCACAAACAUAGUCACCCACCCUCCUCUACCAGCAUAGUGACUACUACCGACCACCAAACACUACCACACCUUUCUAGCCGCCCUCUCUCCCCUGAAAACCCCCUACCAUGCGACCCCUUUCUUGUAAAACUCCCUUCUUCCUACCACCGCGAAUCCUAGCACCACUACUUUUGUUUUCCAUCACUAAACACAACAAAAAAACCUAGUCGCGAACCAAAACUGUAACACUCAAGAAAUUAAUAAUUUAAGACGAAUGAGUUUAAGAGAAUUAUUAGUACAAGUAUAACCUUAAAUACUCAUGACAUAAACAUUCUCAAUCUAAUUUCUUCCGUCAUUUCUUUUUUUUUCUUUUAAUUUGAUUAAAGAUACUCAAAACCCCUUCUUCUUUCCCUCUCAUUCGAUGGAACACAAGAAAGAAAAUCAGACAUUCAUCUUCUUCCCUAUAUCCAUUUGAACCAGCUGCAUCUAAUGAGGGCAAAGCUACACUUCAAUCAUCACGAAUCAGUAUAACUAAUCUCUUCUUCCUCCAGAAAUUUCAAAAUUUAGGGCAUAAACCCUUUCUUUUUUUUUUUCCGCAUAAUAGGGCAAAGCAAGCCUUAGUCAUCUUUUACAUUUGGUUUUCGCAAGAGACACCGCAAAUCUUCCUUGCUUGCCUUCGUUUCAUAGAACAAAUCAAUGGAUUUCCUUUCGAUUGAUGGUGUAAAAUCAAGAAUCAAGCCAUGACCAUCUCAAUGACUUGAUUUUCAAGAAACAAGUUGGUAGUGGUCUUUCUUUCCCCUUCCUUCUCUAAUUUGGGUGUUGCUGUCAAGAAAGUGCUCAGCACAGCCCCUGCCUCGACACUUCUUUGAUGAUUAAUUGAGGAUACGAUUACGUCGAUAAGCCCUUUUAGUCGACUGCAGUGAACCGGUCUCAACUUCUUGAAGCAACGUUAUCGUUUGUUUGCAGAUCGAAAUCGGUCGGGAAUGAUGGGUUAGCGGUAAUGAUUAGAGUUACAGAGAUCUUAUAUUGAGCUGAUUAAGUGAGAAGUGUAGUAUUGUAUUAGGUUUUUGAUAAAUGUAUAUUAGACAUGGUUAUGUUAGUUGUAGUGGACUUAAAGUGAAUUAUAUGAUUACUUUGUGUUUUAGUUAGAUGUUUGGUUUGAGAUUUAGUUGAGUUAGUUAUGUUAAAGAGCCGGUGACUCAUUUGCUCAAGUUUGAAAGUACGAUUUAAGUUCUUUGGGAAAUGAACCCCGUGAUGACCUUGUUUUCUCAGUCAACGGUAAAUCGGGUUGUUACAAAAACCUCCAUCUGAAACACUCCAAUACCCUUACCACCGUCAUCAACAUGCACUAUGAGUGUCGCAAAUAUGUAGGUGUUUUGUGUGUAUCUGAUAGUAUUAGUAUCUAAGAGAUUAUCAUAAUUUUAAUUUUAUUUAGUCGUCACACUGUUUUUUAAUUAUUAUUUUUUCUCAUCUUCUGUCAUUUUUAAUAUUAUCCAUAUAAUUUUAUGGGGUUAACUAAGUGAUAGAGACAUACGGUGUGCAAGUGGGCUUUAAUAUAUAUAUGACCAAGAAGAUUUAAUUGUUUUG